rnacentral:snoRNA from 1 species
AUACAACAUUGGUAACAUAGUUCAGCAGAAUGCACGGUAACAAACACAUCACUCCUGUCUGAUGUAUCU